UGGAGGAAGUGACAGCCGGAGGCUGCGUUUGCUGGGCGUUCCCAGAGGAAAGGGAGGGGCUCUGGAGGAUGACAACUUUCCGAGGAGAUAGCAAGCGUCUUUUCGCCUUUCUACAGCUCACCCAGCGCUUUCACGGUGCGCCAGACGUUUGGCCCUGUUUAACAGACAAAGAAACUAGGCCCAGGGUUACGGGCUAGUCAAGGUCAUGCAGCUAGAACAGGAAAGAGACAGAGCCGAGACUCGAACUGCUUCCUACUGAGAAUUCCGGACUAGAGAAAAACGGAAAGAAAAAAAAAAAAAAAGAGGAUGAGUUAAACAACCGUAGUUGAAAUGACUAUCUAAAGAAUAAGGUUGCCUCGAAUAAGAUAGUACUGUUUGAUGUUAAGGCAGAGUAAGGAUAGCCUUAACCAGAAGAGCAAAACCUCUGGAGAAGGGAGAAUGAAUACCACUUCUUGCAUUUUUCCAAACACUGGGUGUCUCUGCUCCCUGCCUACGAAAGACCGUUCUAGGCUGCAGCCACAACCACCACCCUCUCUGAUCUUGAAGGGGAGGCGGAGCUGGAAAGUGAGAAAAGAAGCGGAGGAGGAUAUGGGGUGGAGUCAGUGGUGAGAAUAAGUCCCGUGAUACAUGAGGUCACCCCUCCUGGGAGUGCGUCACUCGUGAGGAAUGCCACAACACCCUAGCCUUGGGCAGGCUGAGUCAAAUAUCACUUCCGCGUAUUCUCAUCUUCCAGUCUCAAGUUUGGCGGAAGACACUUGCAAAAGCCCCUUCUCUUUGCCUUCGGUGACUCAGAAGUACACCGACUCCGACUCAUCUAAAAAUAAGGGAAGAACAGACAGGAUUUAAAUAGACAAGUUAUUAGGGAGAAACUCCGCUAUCUCCUGGAGUCCUAAAUACCCUGUUUGGUGUUUAGAAGUUUCAGAUCGUCCCCAAAGUUUCCUACAUUUUGGUCUUCCUGGAAACCACCAAAAGCAUUGUGCAAAGGACAGAGAUGAAAACUGUCAAAACUAACUUAGCGUGUGUUCUGCUAAUUUCCCUUACCCCCUUGCCACUACCCUUAGCUUGUGGUCUCCCGGUCUCCAUUUCUCACCCUGACUUUAUGUGUAUGUCUGGAUGAUAGGGAUGCUGACUAGCUAGUUGAGUGUGAGCCCUAAAUGCCCUAUCACUUUUUUUAAACUUUAUUUUAUUUUUCUGUGAACUAAUGUUUUGCCUGUGUGCAUGCCUGGGCACCAGUCGUGUGCAGUGUUUUCAGAGGGUGUCAUAUCAACUAGAACUGAAGUUUUAGCUGGUUGUGAGCCCCUAUGUGUGUGCUGGGAAUCAAACCCUGAUCUGCAAGAUCUCUUAGCUGAGAUAGAGGAUAGAUAGAUAGAUAGAUAGAUAGAUAGAUAGAUAGAUAGAUAGACAGACGGAUGACAGGCAGAUGGGCAGGGAUAGAGCAUGGUGCUUAGAUAGAUAGAUAGAUAGAUAGAUAGAUAGAUAGAUAGAUAGAUAGAUAGAUAGGCAGAUGGGCAGGGAUAGAGCAUGGUGCUUAGAUAGAUAGAUAGAUAGACAGACAGACAGACAGACGGAUGACAGGCAGAUGGGCAGGGAUAGAGCAUGGUGCUUAGAUAGAUAGAUAGAUAGAUAGAUAGAUAGAUAGAUAGAUAGACAGGCAGAUGGGCAGGGAUAGAGCAUGGUGCUUAGAUAGAUAGAUAGAUAGAUAGAUAGAUAGACAGACAGACAGACAGACAGACAGGCAGAUGGGCAGGGAUAGAGCUUGGUGCUUACUUAGCAUACACCAGGUUAGAUUAAAUAAGUGAAACAGUACCAUGAAGUUAGGGACAAGUAGAUCCCGUGGAACAACAUACCCUGGUGUAAGAGAGUUGAAAGAAUGAUUUUGAAGUUGAGGACCUUGCAGUCUCAUAUGUCCCGUCAUUGCAAACAACUCUGGUGGGUGCAAUUACUAAGUACUUGUUGGGUGCAAGUCACCACAGUAAAGACUAGUGAGCCUUAGUUUUGUUUAUAGAACUUUGGGAUUUGUGAAAGACCAGAGUUUUCCUUUCAUUCUAAAAUUCUGCUCCUGAGGACCAGCAAGACAGUUCAGUGAAUAAAGCCAUUUCUACCAAGCUUGGUGCUGUCCAUUCAGUUCCUAGUACACACACGGAAGCAGUGAGGCUGCUCCACAAGUUGUC
ensembl:lncRNA